GAUUUGCAUUCAACUCUAAUUUAUUGUAUUAAUGAUGUUUUGCUGUAACAAAUAUGAAUUUUUUGUUUAAGUAUAAUAAUUUAAAAUGUUUUUUCUAGAGAAUGAAGUACUGCCACUAAGGUAAAGGUGCUAACUUGCAAGGAGCUGUUCUCAAAACAUUGGGUGACAAAGAAUUCACUUU